GAAAAUUACAAGCAUAAGCUCAAAACUCAAAGGACUUGGCGGCGCUUUAGACCCACCUAGAGGAACCUGUCCUAUAACCGAUAACCCCCGUUAAACCUUACCUUCUUUUGCCUUCAGUCUAUAUACCGCCGUCGUCAGCUUACCCUUUGAGGGUCCCACUAGUAAGCAAGAUCGGUUUAACCCCAGACGUCAGGUCGAGGUGUAGCAUAUAAGAAGAGAAGAGAUGGGCUACAUUUCCUAUAUAGGGUCCACGGAGAAUGCUUUGAAACAAGCAUAUUGAAGUAGGAUUUAGCAGUAAGUAGAAAAUAGAGUGUUUU
rnacentral:rRNA from 1 species